CCUGGCUCCAACAGGAUUCACCCUGAUCUUAUAGUGAUCCCAAAUAUUUGACAGGGGGGUUAUAUCAAUGAGGAAUGAAGAUGAGUGGGUAUAGAAGAGGGUGAAUUGGGAAAGUAGUUGAGGGAAUGGGAUGAAUGUCUUAAAAUUACAUCAAAUGGAACUCUCCAAAAUGGUUUGUCAUGGAAAGAGGGCUGUUGUGGACAAUGGGAUGUCCCUCUUCUCAAGAAAACAGGAUGCUUUCCCAGCAAGAUAUUCCCCAGAAUACUCUGGAAAAUGGAGCAGAUGACUUACCAAGAGCUUCCAAAGAAUAUGAAAAUACGGAAGCAAAAGCUGUUUGUCAGAAGAACUAGAAUAAGAAACAAUACCAGAUUUAAAAUUGGAAAAUGAAGAUGUCUUUGAUAAGAAUGAAGGAUAUGAAAAAGUGGAAUCUUCCGGAAAGGCUCCACACUCUUCCACCACAGGAAGUGAUGCAGAAGUAAACCAGAUGCGUCAAGCUAAGCAUCAUCAUGAAGUCAUUUUAUGUAAAACAAACAGCUGGUAUGUUAAACUAGCCAAAGAAAUCAGGGAAUAAAUUCAUACUUACAGCAAUGAUAGUGGUUAUAAGACCCAUAUAGCUAUAAAAGGGAGCAAUGUGUAAAAUUGAGGUAGUCACAGGAUGAUUUAAGAGUUUUCUUCUAUGUGACAUAUUUAGGGUAUU